rnacentral:ncRNA from 1 species
UGCAAGUCAAGGCAAAACCAUUGAAAAAUGGUGACGCAAAGCUAUAGGGGCUUCAAUGCCAGCCAGCUGCCGGA